UAGUUUUCAAUGUCUUAAGAUAUUAUUUAUGUGUGGGCUUGUAAAUUCACUAUCCACUAAGUAGAUUCUAUCUACAUAACCUAAAUCUGAAGUCCAAACUAAAACCCAACAAGACAAAAGACAAUAAAAUAGGUUAUUUCAUAUCUUCCGUAUCUUCCCUAUGUUCCAAUUCCAAACUCAAAGAACCCCAAAUAUUGGAAACCCUUCCCUCCACUUCGCACGAGCUUCCCACUCUGCAAUUCUUGUUGAGAAGUAGCCAUUGUUCAAGUUUGUAAUUGCAUACUAGUCUUACUGCUCCAAUACAAUUUGGUAAGCUAAAGUGUUUGAUUAAACCAAUUAUGUUAUUUUGUUCCUUUAGAUUUGGGUAGAACUGUUAUCUUAUAUUAUUUUAAUGAAUAGUAAUCAUGCGGAUAAUUGGUGAUUAUUUGAUCUCUUUUUCAAGCACAAUAUAACUAAAAAAUAAAAUCGAAAAUUAACCAAAAAACCGAAGAAACCGAGAAAAUCGACUAAAACCGAAACCGAAAAAACCGAGUUUAUGUUGGUUUGAUUUGAUUAUAAAUUUAAUAAACCGACAUAGUUGGUUUGAUUUUGGUUUAAUAAAAAACCAAACCAAACCGCCUCAUGUACACCCCUAUCUAUGUGUGCCAUUCUUCUGUCAAUUUAUGCUCUUGCCAUUUCCAGAACCGACCUAGUUUCCUAUUGCACAAUUCUUUCUAGAUGAGCCUUUUAAAUGUGAUCUCAAUAAGAGUUCCUGACUAGCCCUUUGCGACCAGCCCCUUAACUCCAGUAGAGGCUUACAUCAUUUAUUGAUCCAAUUGCACUUUUGGUACCUGAUUUAUAAGGGUCCUAUAUUCUUUAUUAUAUUUUUCUAUAUGCAUAUAAUGCCCUAACUUAAAUAAUCCACAAAAUCGUUACCUCCCCUUAACAAUGUAAAUUUUGUGUCAGCUAGAAGCCAUGUGCCUUGAGCAUCAUUUUUUCAGAUAUUUUUGAGGGUCCAAAAUUUGUGUUGUCUAUAAAAUAAUUUCUAGAGGUGAUAGGAGCACUAAUUAGCUCUAAAAUCUACCCAUUACCUCUUAUAUACAUGCAGUUUUAAAUCACAAAUUUAUAUGCAUGUUAGAGGUAACCAAUAGAUUUUGAUUUUAUUCCCUCCAAAAAUUAUUCACAGAUGAAAACGGACUAUGAACCCUCAACAGGCUGUGUCAUGUGCAAAGCACUUGGCUUUUUCCAUCCAAAAAUUGAGAGAGAUUCAAAUUUUUGCAAAUUCUCUUAAAGUUAGGGUACUGUGUGUAAGUCAAACAGUAUGACAAAAACACGACUUCUAUAAACUAAAGUAUCCAAAGCAUCAGCUGUCGUAAUUUGGUUAAAUGUGAUUUGCGCACCUUCUAGCUGUUUCUUGGAUUGUACAAGUUCAUUAGUAUUAUACAUGGUAGUCCUCACUGUUGCUUAACAUUCAAUUAAACACAGUACCAUCUUGCAAUCGAUGUUUAACACCCAAUUAAGUCUUUUGAAUUAUACAAUUCAGAGUGAUCAUUAAGAACCUUAAUGAAGGCAAUCCUCAAUCCUGAAUGAUUAUUGACAAAUUCCCCUUAUAUGACUGUCACAUGGUGCUACGAUUUGCUGUCUAGCUUGUAGGCCAACUGCAUGCACUUCAUUUUGAAACCUGAUAGAUAACAACACAGACAAUCAGCAUUGAAUUGACCGUUAUAAAAGAAGUCAUUAUUUCCACUAACUUAACGAAAAAUGAUUUGUAGCUGUAAAGUCUAAACUGAUUUGCACCAGAUUGAAUCAUUCUAAAAGCUGCUCAAGGGAGAUUAUCUCUCUCCAUCCUUUUCAGAUUAUUCCAAUAUUUUAGCUUUUGAUUAUGCCGUCUUAAAUUUUAGUAAUUUGUUGUUAUUUUGCAGAUACCACUGCUAGAUUUUGAUGAUUAGUUGAUGGCAAAUGCUAUUUCCCAGGAUAAUUCAAGAUCUUCUCUUUCUCUCAAGGUGGAGAAAUGUAAUUAGUCUGCAUUCAGAGUAAUUUUUAAGGAUCCACAAAAUAGAAAGCUGCGCACUACAUAAAUACAAUCUGCAGCAAACAACAGCAGCAGCGCUAAUAGACAGCGGUUUUACCAAGGAGCAACAAGAUUUAGUUACUUCCUUUCAUUCAUUUGUCAGUUUGGUAUAAUCUUGACUGGUUUUGAAACUAUACGAGUGGAGAAUUUCAUGGAGAUAACAAAGCUUGAAGUUUCAAAACGAUUAUUGGAACUGUAAAGAUAUUGCAGGAAAGUGAAAAUUAAAGAACUGCAAUCCCAUUCUGCCAUAUAAAGAGUGAUGCUAGUGUGACAGUUGGAUUGCUGAGUUCUUUUGCUUAUUUCAUUAUUUCAACUAUUAAUUAAUGGAUUUCCUGCUUUAAUAUCCAUUUCUUUACUUUGUUUUUUGUACACUCUAAUAAAGUAAUAAUGAAGUAUUGCACUUUACAAUCACAAUUUAUUUCAAGAAAGUCAUAGUAUAUUUCCUCUUUGAUUGCACUAGCAAAACCAUGGUUUUUCUUUUUUAUCUUAUUGUUAAAAGUCUUUGGUAGGUAUGACACUGAAGAAUAAACUAGAAAGUUGCACUCCAAAAUAUGUUGGAGAACUAACUUUGUUUAAUUAUUGAGCUCAACAAGAAAAGAAAUCGCGUAGAAUCAACUUGUUUCGAGUAGGAACAUGAACGGAUAAUACAUGUGUACGUAUUAUUAUCUGGGCUUCUCCAUAAUAUAUUUAGAACAAUCAUUUAUAUUUUGAUCCCGUUAAGAGAUUUUUUGAAAAAAUAGCUACAUGGCAGAAUUUGAAGCACCAGAAAUCCUAAUGCUGAAAAUUCUAGUGAUUGGUCAGAAUUUCUGGCAAAAGAUCCUAUUUGUGCAAAUCACCCUCUCUUACUUGGCCCAUAAUGAAGCAUAGAAGCCCACCAACCCAAAAACCACAAAAGGAAAGGCACAAGUGAUCUUCCUACUAGUAAUAAAAAAGAAACAGAAAACUAUAUCUUCUAUUACUGAUGAAAUGAAAUGAAAGGAUAGAAAAGUUACAAGUAAGAGCAGUUUUGGAGAGCCUCUCACUCAUUGCAAUGGAGAGCGCUCUUGUAUCUGCUUCCUCCUUCAUCACUCUACCCAAAGCAAAUCAAAGAGAAGUAGUAGUAGGUAGACCUCUGAGUCACAAAUUCCAGAGCUCAUUCUACGGCAAAGAGAUACUUCUGACCUGCAGAAACUUCAAAAGAAUCCGUCACACUGCGAUCACCUCAUUGUUUGAGAGGAAAACUAAGAAGAAGGAGAUUACUACUGUUGUUCCUGACCCUGAUUACCGUAUUCCAAUUCUCCUUCUAGGAGCAUCUGGUGCUUUAUUUUAUACAGAAAAUCUAGCAGCAGCUGUUCCUGUUGGUCUUCUUGGAUUGCUCCUAUUAUUUCAGACAACAAGAGUCAGAUUUGUAUUUGAUGAUGAGGCUCUUGAGGUUAAAGUUGGGGAGCAACUCAAGGAGUCUGGUGAAAAUGUAUUUGUGGGUGGAAAGAACCGCUGGAAAUAUUCAACAUUUGUGAACUGGGAAUUAUGGUGGCCUACUUUCCCCAUUUUGGUUUAUUUUAAAGAGACACAGACUAAACCUGAGGGACAAAUCCACUUUUUCCCUGUUAUUUUUAAUGGGAAGCAAUUGUAUGAUGUUAUGGUGGAGAGAUGUGGCCCUUCCAAAACUAGCGGACCAAAGUAGCCCCUAAGAUCAGAUUUUGUGGCAAAAGGUAUACAAAGAAUAUGUUUUAAUUUAAUCCUUUAUAUAUAUUCGAUUUCAUGUUGUUUAGGCUUCUGUAAAAUCAUAAGAUAAAAUAAUGCGAAGUGAAAAAGAAGAUGUGCUUGUUUUUUCUACUUUUAAAUAUCAUUUAUUAUGUAUGUUCGACUCAAAAAGAGAUUUGCCAGAGAAAUACACUCAUUUCAUACAGACCUGAGUCCUGAUAGGGACACAAUCAGGUAUGAAACUAGAAAAUGUAGAAAGAUCCUGAUUUGAAACAGAGUAGCAAUGACUAUAUAUCAGAUUUGUCAGCUGUUAGUCCUUUUCAAAAUUUGUAUUUAUAAAUAAUAAUUCUGCAAAAUAUAAGUUAUCGUAAUGAAACAGUAAUUAAUUCGAGCCCACUGAAUUCACAGUGUUUCCUUAAGGAAUUUAAUCCCCUCCUACCCAAGGUAAUAGAUUAUUUCCUCCCAGGAUAGAACGAAUCACACACUGGUGUAGCGGUACUUCAAACAAACCCCAGUAUUUCAGUAGCAAAUCACACUUACAGUUGCUUUGUUUGAAGUUAAAACAAUGCAGAACGGUUUUGUGUCUUGUGUAUUGUGUGUGUCUUUCUUCAACCGCUGUUGCACAUAUAUAUAGCAGGCAUUAGGCGGCUGCCUGGUGGUCAAUACACGGAUUGAAAAAUAUCCGUUAGCCGAAGCCGAGCGACGACGACGGCGACGGCGCGAGGCUUGCUUUCUUCUUAACUCUUUAAGAGCUACAAGAAGAGCAAUUAUAUAUAUACCCACCAAAAAUCUUUUCCUCUUCCAAUAUGGUACAAUGUCUCAUUGUCAAGAGGGGGAAACUUAAAAUUUUUACUCAAAAAUUUCAUUUUCCCUCCAUUUCCGAUUCACCCUCAUUUUAAGACUAUUUCUAUCUUAAAAACAAAAAAACCUCAACAUCAGCUUCAUAAGGGUAUUCUAUCAUAUAUAUGCUCAUCAUUAUACAAUGUAUUUACACCAGAGAGCUAAUAAACUAAGACACUUGAACUGUUGAACAUCAAAGAGUGUACAACAGUAGACUUUUCUUCAAAAAUAUAUCCAGUUUCUUCAACUCUUGCAAUGCAGACUGGUUAGUCUUCCAAAUCCUCUUCAGUUCCUUCUUGAACUUGUAUCCCUCUCAGCAGCAACCCAACUCGAUUUGAAAAUCUAUUUAACAGUUCUCACAACUAACUUGUAAGUUGCAACUGUACAAUGAAAAUCUUGAUCUUUAAGCCCAGUUGAUACAACAAUAUCGCAAUCUAAUACAAUGUAUGCAAGACAGAGAGUGUGUGUGUGUGUGUGUGUGUGUGUCUCUCGUGUACGCAAGACAUUUCUUUUGUUUCUAUACAAAGGUUAGGAUGCUAAAAUUGUCAGUGUCUACAUAAAUAUACAAGUGCAUAUAAAACGUUUCUAUUUAGACAUUAUGUUUUACAUAUGUAUAUGUGAAUGUUAAUAUAGAAGAAGGGUGUAUGGCUUUCCUAGAGGGGCCUGAACUGGGGAAAAGAUUAAUAAACAAGAUGUAUAUGCAAGCUGCGAAGUGCAACAGAAGAAGAUAGCUUAUGCUUGGCCAAAACUAAUCUAUUUGAGAAAGGAGACAAACAGAAGAUGCUCUGAAGGUAGCAAAACUUCAGUUUGAUCUUUCUCUCUACCUUUUUGUACUUUUGGUGCAAAUCAUAGAAUGCAAAAUAGCAUGGUUCAAAUGCUAGAUUCCAUUUUACAUUUUUCAUGUCUUCCAGUUAUUUCCCAUAUGGCUCGUUUUCUAUUGGCUCAAGAAAUUUACUGCAGUCUUGUGACGAAGAAAAGAAAAGAAAAAACAACAGUAUGUUCAACCAAAAAAAAAAGUGGCCACACCAAGGUGCAUAGAAAUCGACGAAAAUAUAAUGCAAGGUGGAACUUGCCUAGGUCGACCCUUAUUUCUAUGUGGGUUGUUCCUAAUUUGCAUUUGUUCGAAACUAGCAAAGGCAGUGGAAAUGACAUCAAGUAGUAACUUUUAAAUAUGUUACUUAAAAUAUAUACACAGUUCACAAUGUAUUUAAAGAUUAGCCAAUUUCGCUGACGUCCUAGAAUUUAAACUCAAAAUUCAAACUCCAGGACAUCGUGUUCUAAAGUUCGAAAAUUAUGUCCUGAAAUUCGAAUUUUAUGUCCUAAAUUUUAAAUUAGUAGUUCAGAAAUUCAGGACAUCGUGUCCUAAAGUUCAAAAAUUAUGUCUUGAAGUUCGAAUCUUAUGUCCUGAAUUUUAAAUUAGUGGUUCAGAAAUGAAUUUCAAAUUAGCAGCUCAAAAAUUCAGGACACUUAGUUCUGAAGUUUAGGUGAAUUCAUUAAUCUUUAAAUACAUUAUAAACCGUGAAUAUAUUUUAAAUAGCGGGCUUAAAAACCGCUAUUGCUACACUUCGCCCGCAAAGGCAAACAUGAAAAUAGCUACUCACAAAAAUUACAAAUGCAAACAUGAUUUAUUAAUGAAAAGAGUAAGUAGUGGAGUUAUACCUCUUUUCUAAAUUCUCAGUCUGUGAAGGCAAAAUCGACAACUUUUGGAGUGGAAAAAAAUAUUUUCCUAGUACAACAAUUUUGUUCCACCUACAUAGGAGUCAUUGUCCCAAUUAUCAUCCUCAUACAUUGAUUGUCAAACUUAUGUAGUAUCAAUUUCUUUGCAUUAUUAACUACAUUUGUAUAAAUAGAAAAUUAAAAUUGAACCUAACGCCCAAUCUGAUAAAAUUUAGAUUAUAUUGGUUUGAUUAGAUUACAAUAUUUUAAAAAAUAGAUUUAACUGGUUUAAUUAGUUUGGACAAAUUAAACCAAGAAUACCCAAACAAGUAGCAUAAUAUAAAAUAAAAUAAAAAUAAUAAAGGACCGUGAAAAGAACCUUUUUCCUUGCAAGAAACUUCAAAAACAAGCAAACAACUUUCACAAGUUGUAACGCCUAGUGAAAAUCAUACAUAAUAAGUAAAUACAAAAGAAAGUAAGAAGCGAGUAUCACGCCCCAGCAAAUAGGUUCCCUCCCUCCUUUCUCUACGGUGCGUUCGUAGGUCGAGCGAUCCGCCUUCAACGUCAAUUCUGAGCUCUUUCUCCUCAAUUCUCACUCACAAUGGUCAGCUCUCUCUCUCUCUUAAACCCUUUUGCUAUUAUUUUCCAAGUGAAAAAAAAAAACUUUUUUUUAAAUAUGUUUUAUCAUAUUUGCCCAAAACAAGCGCAUUCUCGUUGAUCACUUAUCUUAUGUAUUGUUUGGUUGAAUUUAGCGGUCAGCGCUGGUAGAAAAUGAAUUUUGUGUAUUUGGGGUUUUAAUUUUAGUAGAACUGGAAAAGCUGGCUUAAAGUGUUUUUCUCUUGAUCUCUUUGAUUAUUGACCUGUUUUCAGCGUUUGUUAUAUGGAGGUAAAUUGGGACGGUAUAUCUAUCAGAUCUAGCAUUUUUAAGUCUCCAACAAUGGAAAAAAGGAAAAGAAUUAACAAAAGGAAGAAAAAAACGUAAGAAUUAACAGAAGGAAGAUAGAAACUUUUUUGUUAUGAAAUACUCCAGUAGGAUUAUUUACACUAUAUAUCCCACCAGUUAAUUCUUUUGCAACACCCUAAUAGGAAGAACACCAAAAUUUAAGAUGGACACCAACCGGGGGCGUAUGUAUCGUAUAAGCUAUGGAUUCAGCCGGACCCAAUAGCUUUAGCUCAUACCGUGUGUAUGUGUUCAGAAAUCUAACCAAAUAUUUACAAAUAUUAAAUUUUGAACCCAGUAACUCGAAUGAUCAGAGGGUUCAGUGGCAUUCUGAACCUAUAAAGUUCAAAUCUUGGAUUCGCCUCUGACACCAACCCACACAUUUAAGGCUUCUGGGCUAAAUCUUAGAUUCAUAUUUCUUGAAAUGGGAUGCUGCAUUCAUCUCUUUAGAAUGGAAAAGUCUUGCUCAUGAAGGAGGAAAUAUCGUGCUUUAUAACAGGGGCAUAUGAUGUGAGGCAAAGUUAUUUUAUUAAAUAGUGAGGAUUUUCCAUCAAGAGAAUAAAGGUAAAAAGCCACUGAGCGAAAAUCUGGUUUAGGUGUUUGGAUAUUUUUGUUUUUCCACAUGACUUGGAGACUUGAUGAGUUGAUGUUGGAGUUGGAUAUAAUUGGAGAGAAAGUAGUUUCUGGUUGACAUCUAUAGCUGUGUAGGAGGCCAUGAAAAAGGGAAGGCAGCUUUAUUUGUGCUACAGUUAUGCUUUGGUUUGGAAUAUGAUUAUAUGUUACACGUGCUAGGAUAGAAAAAGUAAAAGGAGAAAUAUGCAAAAGUGAGUAUCUUGGAAUUUUUGGAACGAUGGUUAAACUUGAAGCUUUGAUAGAUAGAACCAGAGCAAUUUAUGCAUGAUUUCCAUCUCUGUCAGAUGUGGCAAUAUACGUUUUUAACCUAUUUUUCUACAACGUAUGAAAAGAAAUUCAUCCCUUAUUCUUUUCAUAGCUGGAUAUCUAGACAAAAGAUCCUGCUAUAAUAUCCUUCACAUCCUCUUUGUAGGAGACCUGCCCUUCAGUUAAGAACAUUCUGCUUCUAGAUUCCGAAGGAAAGCGUGUUGCUGUGAAGUACUACUCAGAUGAUUGGCCAACAAAUAUUGCAAGGGAAGCUUUUGAGAAGGCUGUGUUUGCCAAGACACAAAAGACUAAUGCCAGGGCAGAAGGUAUGAUUUCUCUUUUACUGUUGAUUUAUUUAUUUAUGUUUGGUCGUGCUCUUUCAAAAUUAUCUCCUUUAUUUUGUUUCAUACUUUCAAGUAUUACUGUCUGCACAUUUUGGUCUCCCUUUCAACAUGCAAAGGAAGCAAAAGUCAUCCUGCCAGUUGGUUAGGUUCCAUUCUGCACUAGAGUUGUCGGUGAGACUAUCUUAUGCAGUAGAUAUUACCAGUCUCUGUACAAUACUAUUAUAAAACUCUUGUGGUAGUCUUAAUCAAGUGCUAAAAACAAAGACAAGCUAUUAGAAGUUUUGCUAAUUUACCAAAUAGGAACUCUGGUUAGUGGUGGUGGGUUGACAAUAAUGUUCUUAAAGACUUGGUUUUCUUUCGUUUGCUUGCAUGUCCUCUUCUAGAAUUUGGUUUUCUCCAGGUCAUAUGAAUCCGAAGUCUUGCUCCUUAAUUGCUCCAUAUAUAUUAAGAAUUGUCUUUAUGCCACUUACUAAAGAAUGCCCUUGUGCUUAAGCAGUUGUGCAACAUAUUGGGUCCCCCCCCUCUCCCCCAGUUGCUGCUAAAACUCUAACUUUGUGAUGGGAAAGAAAGAGAACCUUGAUCUGUCUGAUCACUCUUCUUACUUCUUAUGCAGCGGAGAUAACAAUGUUUGAUAACUAUAUUGUUGUUUACAAGUUUUCCCAAGAUCUUCAUUUCUUUGUUACCGGGAGUGACAAUGAAAAUGAAAUAAUCCUUGCCAGUGUGCUCCAGGGGUUCUCUGAUGCUGUUGGUAUUCUUCUUAGGUUGUCUACAAGAGCAAUGUUUUCCUUUUCGAUAUGCAUCCCUUGAUAUUUUCGUCUUCAUGUACUUAUCUAGCUGCAAAUGCCUUUUGUUUUAGGGGCAACGUAGAGAAGAAGGAGGCACUUGAAAAUUUGGACCUUAUUCUUUUGUGUCUUGAUGAAAUUGUUGAUGGCGGGUAAGAGAAUUGUACCAUGAUUUUUUUAUUUAUUUCAAAUUUUGAGUAAUUAAAAUCUUUGUCUUAACUUGCUUUGCAACUUUUACUCAUUUUAUCAAAAUACUACAUGUUAGCAUCCUUUAUUUCUUUUCUUUGUAGUUAUAUAGAAUUAUAGUUAUUUCUUCUUCACAUACCCUGUGUAGUACUUAUUAGAGUGUUUGACCUUGAGAAUUGAAGUAGGCAAAAGAAAAUGGAAAAGAGUGCAGACAUUCAAUCUUGCUCUCAAUUUCAGUUACAGGAAACUAAGCUGAUGAAGAAUUUGAAACUACUUCUGAUUAACUUACAAUCUUACUAAGAUCCUCCAUUUUACUUUCUUAUCUCUUGUAGAAUUGUUCUUGAAACGGAUGCAAAUGUUAUUGCCGGGAAAGUGGCAAGCAAUAGCGUGGAUUCUGGGGCACCUUUGUCAGAGCAGGUAAAUAUUGCUCUGUUUCCUGAUGUGUUCCUUCAAACUGAUCGAAUAGUUGUUUCAUUAAUUAGCAUCCCUGUGCAAUUAACUCAUCUUUUCACUAUGCGUUCUUUCUGGUUCAGACAAUAAGCCAAGCAUUGGCAACUGCACGAGAACAUUUAGCAAGAUCUCUUCUCAAAUGAUUUGUUGGGUCAACAAAAGAAAGGGAAACCAAGGCUUCGCAAGCAUUGAUUUCCUCCUGAAUGAACUAAUCGAUGAGCAUCAAGUUGCAUAUGUUUUAGAUCUUAUACUUCCAACUUAUGCCCAGUCUCUUGUUUCUACAUCUUUCGACUUAGUUGAACACAUUAAGAUGUAAUGCAAACUUGAUGCUUGUGUAGUGAGGGGGGAAGAACUCAUUUGCAAUGUGGAUUGUGACCUCACAUAGUGUCUUUUCCUGAUUUCCUUUUCUUGGUUCCUUAUUAUUUGCCUUUAAUGUAGUUAAUUAUUUUGGUUCAUCUUUUCUGUCAUCUGAAAAAUCAUGUUAUAUCACAUCACCUUCUAUGGGCUUGUGUGACAGUUAAUCUGAGAUCCUUUAGACCACAUCCUACUACCUUUCAACAAGCUGAAACUUUCUGUUUCGUCGAGCCCCGAGCUUAUGGUCUUCCGUUGAGUUUGGGUUUAAUGGAAUCAAUUAAGCCAAGGAAUUUAUAUAUGUAGCAACAGAGAUGGUUUAUAGCCUAUUUAUUGUUCACUGUAAUUUACUCAAAGUUGUGAUCUUUCCUUGCCUUCCAAGCUUGCAAUUAUCUUAUUAUUCUGAUGUUGGUCAGUUCCACAGGUUUGACAAAUUAUAGCAAUGUUGGUGCCAUAAUGGAGUCACUACAUGUCAAUAUAAGAAGAAAAUACAUGAUAAAUUUUCAAAACUUAAAAUAGUAGCUGAAUUGAAAUAAUAAUGAUGUAUUUACUAGGACAAAUUAGUCACAAUUCAUUGUGCAACUAAAAAGCAAAAGAUGUAAACUAAUGUUUAUAAAGCUCGUUACGAACCGAUGGUAAUGAUCCAAAUCUAGCAUGUCAGGUUUCGUACUCUAAACUAAAACUUAAGCAUAAAUUAUCAAAUGCUCCAAUUAGAUCUAUCAUUUCUUUAUAAACGAAUAGUAACUUCAAAAGUCAAUACCAUUAGAUGUAGUCCGUUUCACCUUAUAGGCUAGUUCCAAAAGAAAGUGCUAUAGAAUCAAAGCAUGAAGUAAGUUAACCUGCAUGUCUAAUUUCUCAAGUGAAACUUGACCACAUUCGAUACCAAAUGGCAAAGAGGAUAGAUGAGAUUAAAGGUUUUCUAUACCGACUCCAUAAUAGGAAUCAAUCAUCAUUUUCCUCUGAAAACAUCAUAUAAAAUAGCUCGCAUAAUCAAAGAGAUUUUUUUAGGUGAGCCGUACAGGACUGAACCACAAAACUUGUCUUCUCUAUAAUACUAUACUAAGGGCAUUAACAAUAUUUUCAAAUAAAGGGAGAUCUUUGUACAUUCCACCUUAUUGUGCCAGGAAUUUUAGGCUCAAUGGAAGUAGGAAAUAAGUAAAACCUGAUAAUAAAAAUACCACAUCUAAAUCAUUUGUGCAGCAAGCAGGGCUAAACUGGUUAGGAAACUAAGAUGGAUUGCAACACAUUGCUUAGUGGAAACAGAACAUCACUUAUCACUAUAGAUAAAGAAGCAAAGGGGUUAACUGUGAAACAAAGAGUUAACAAAACAAGAAAAGUCCACUAGCACGACGUUAGCUCACAUUCCUACGUUACAUUUGACUGAUGACAAAUACGUAAAGUACAACCUCGAGGCACAGGGUAGCAGCCAAUCGAUUCCCCUUGGGACGUUUAAGUUAUUUCCAAAGCAACACCCUGAAAGGCCUCUUUCAAACUCACUACAAGACUCCGAAAAAGCAGGAGGCAGUAAGAGAUUAUUAGUAGCUGUUUUGCCAUAGCUGCUGUUGAGACUGCUUUGGCUGGCCUUGAGAGCCACCCAAUGACCCAUCCCUUGGAUUUUGCUGUUGAUGUUCUAAUGAGAUCCCAGCCUGAGAAUGGUAGAAAUUUGGGUAGCCCAAAGAUCCAUGAUUCUGCAUUGGCUGUUGAGCUUGCCUAAAUCCACCACUUUGCUGGUUUUGACCUUGGAAACCAUAGUAUGUGUUAGCAGGAACAGCAGACAUUGUUCUUGAGCCAGGUCCAUGAAGCCACAUAGCUGAAUUCUCACCCUGAAAGGAAGGGGAAUGAACAUAAACAUGAGCUUCAAAAUCAAGGAAAGGAAGAACAGUGAUCGAGAAAAUGCUGAGUCGACAUAUCACAACUAUUAGUCCAAAUUAGAAACAUAUCAAAACCUAUUAUAUUAGAGAAAGCAAGUCGACAGCAAUUUGUCCUAUUGUCUUUAAAUAAUCAAACAGCAUUUAUAGCAAGUGCAUUGCUUACCUGCUGAAGAGACAUUAAAUGAUUGGUAUCCUUGUACUGAGAGCUCAACACAUCAUCGUAACUCAAGUUAGUACCAGAGGGAGCAGCAGCAGGGUUCAUUGGGAAGUUACCAGGGAUACUUGCUGUAUUUCCAAAACCACCAUAUCCAGAAGCAACACUGGCAGACUGAGGUAAGCUGCUGACGGAAACACUGUUCUUAUAUUGGGGGAGCACUGCCGCUAGCGACUGAUGAUAAGUACUGCUACCAGCAAAUGGUUGCUGGAAUGCAGAUGGCAUAUACGUAUAGCUCUGAGGCAUAAAGGGAUAACUAAUCAUGUUAGCAAACGGUCCCAGAGGAAGUGUUGGUUGCGAAUAUGGAUGUACAGUAAGAUGUUGCGGCACAGCAGGUCCGGUGGUGACACUAGUUCCAGAAAGUGUCUGCUGUGUAGGUUGUGCUGAUUGAAAACCAGCAGUCCUCAAAGACUGCAAAUCAACAGAAACAAUAUCAGUGAUUUACACGACGACAUAUGAAGGGAGAAAUUGUUAAACUUAUUACUCUAGAAAGGAAGAAGACAUAAGAUAGAAAAUCUUCUAUCCAUAUCUUACACAACCUUUUCAUACUAAUGGAAAACUAUAAUACAUAUAUAUACACUAGCUUUCAUAUGAAUUGCCAAUUAAAUUUCUUUUUUACACUCAUCUUAGAUGAAACGGUUGCUUUUAUAGGUAACUUGUAGGAAUCAAAAUUCACAACUUUACUGUGAAUCUCUUAAAUUUCAGAUUAUUAUUAUCUUAUUACCAUUUCUUUUCUUUUGUAACAACCCAAAAGAAAAUUUUACAUGAGAAAACCAAAAGGUAACAUUAUUAUAAGAAUAUUAUAUACACAACUUCAGCCUCCUUUUCCUAAAUCAAAAGAGUAAUUUUCCUCUCCAUGAACUAGACCCUCUAACUGUACCACACAAAUAAACAAAUUAGCCUUUAAAAAAUUCUGAAAAUCCAUGACGAGUAACUGUACCACACAAAUAAACAAAUUAGUCUUCAAAAUAUUCUGAAAAUCCAUGACGAGUAACUAAUUAUCUUUGUAUACAGAGUGAAAACACCAACCCACACGAGUUUUAAAAAAUACCAAAUGUUGCCUCUAAAACAUUGGAUGGACAUUAAGAGAAACGGCCUUCAAAUUUUAGUUUCAAACAGCAGAUGCUAUCAUCAAACUUUCAUCCCCAAUUGUUAAGAGGUCCCACCCACAGUGUUAGAUGCAAUUAGAUCCAUAAUGUACAGUAUUCUCAUUAUGUACAAAUAGACAACAAUAACAAGCAUUAUAAAUAUUUCUAAAAAGGCAAGAAAGCAUCAUGUUUUGCUUUUUACGAUACAUGAAAAUUUUGACAAGCAACAAGUCAUGAGCAAUACACCAAGUGCACAUGAGGAAAAAGAAAUUCACUAUGAAAAAUACAAUUAACUUCAUCAAGAUAGUAUUACCUCGGGCAUGGAAAUAGUUGAACCUCCAAUUGAAGAAACAGAGUUGCCAUAUUUUGAGGGCAUUGCUUGUGUUGCAGAAAAUGGUGAGUAUGAAGGAUCAGAUUCACGACCAGCAUGAACAUUAGCAGCCAACAAGGUACUUGGCAAUGAAUUUGUGAAGGCCUGCUCCAACAAAAUAGCUAAAUGAGUACCUCGCUGUAGAAAAUUCUGGUGGGAACUUAAAUGUUCCUCUUCUGCUCUUGUACUCCAUUGACCUACCACCGCUCCUCACACGGGAAAAGCAGGUACUAUAGGCAUUAUCUUUCUAGAGUUUAUAAAACUAAAACCAAUUCCUGGAUGAAUAUAGAUACAUUAGGAAAAAUAGCAAAUUACCACUUAUACUAGGUACCCCACAAUAGUGCCGCAGGCUUUGAUUUUUCACACAUUUGCCACUAUUAUUUUAUAUUUAUCAACUUCAAAUACAGAAUAAGCAGAAGGAAACUCUAGCAUUAGCUUGUCCCCCAAAAAAUCCUAGCAAAAAACUAAAGGAUCACAAGAAAAGGGCAGUGUCCAAAAGAGUUAAAAGAAAUAGUGUGCUACUCAAAAGGAAACAAGGAAAAGAUUGUCCAUGGUCAUCUUUUACUCUAGCAGACCUUAGUAAAUUACUCAACUUAGUUAAUUAUAUUGUCUAAAGCAAAGUUCAAUAAAACUAGUGUCUAUAACAAGCAAAAGAUUUUCCUUGAUGGUGCAAGAGCUACUCAAAAGUUAUAACAUGUCCAUAGACCAGUGCCUUUAUAGUGAUACUAACAAGUAAUCAUGUUGUACUUGUGACAUCCACCAAUAAUUAACUUUCAAAAGAGAAACUAUAAGACUCGAGAGAAUAAAACUGGUCGAAUCAUUAUUAGAUUUUGAAUACAUCAUGAUUCUUUGCAGUCGAAAUCAUUCUUGCGGAAACAAGAAACAGAAGUAAAUCUGCAAGAAUAAUGAUCUCAAGAACAUGUCACAAACUUCUACACCAACCCCCACCUCUCGCUGCACCAUGAGAAACAAAAGACUUGCAAAAGAUAUGAAUGCAUUCACAUCUUUCAGUGCAUUAUUAGGCAAACAUCUAUCCGGGCGCAAUGUAUAGUAACGCAACUAAACUCGACAUUUAGACCUCCCCCCCUCCCUGCUCAGAUAAUAGAAUGGAGCUACUAACCCCGCAACUCUACCAUAUCAUUCCAUGUCAUUUUACACCUAAGAGAAUAGUGAGCCAAUAGUAAGCAAACUCUCUGUCAUUCCUAGAAAAUGAGUGGUUUUAUCACCACUUAUUUUUCCUUGUUUGGUUGGUGAGUGAAAAACUUUUUCUGGAAAAUAUUUUCUAGUGUUUGGUUAGAGUAUAAAAUAUUUUUUGGAAAAUAAUUUUUUAUGUUACUCUCCUAAACUCACCUUCCCCAAAAUCCCCAUGUUUCAUGUACUCCCCCCCCUCCCCCCCCCCAAUUAUUCUAUUCAAAAUUCACACAAACCCAAAAGAACUAAUGUGCAGUGUUGUCAAAGGCGAAAAGCGCAAAAAAGCUUUAAGGUCUGUUGGGACUUUAAGCGCAAAUAAAGCGCGGGCUUUAAUGAAGAAAGACGCAAAUGGAGAAAUUUUGUUGAAAUAAAAUAAAUACUCUAUCUACAACAUCAAAAGAAAUUACUCUUAAUAAUAGUUCUAUUUAGGGUGGGUGGUGGGCGAGGUGAGGGUGGGGGGUAGGGGGUUAGGGUGGUGGAUAGGGGUGGGGUUGGUGGAGAUGGGGAAUAGGAUGGAGAAGGUUGAAAAAGAGUUUUGGAAAAUAUUUUCCGUUCUUUUGAUAGUCCAAUUGAAGGAAAAUGAGUUCAUGAGGAAAAUGUUUUCCAAAACAUUUAAAGCCAACAAAACAUGGGAAAAUUCGAAAAUAUUUUCGAGAAAAUGUUUUCCUUCAUACCAAACACACCCUAAAAGUAAAACAGACAGAAGUAAUCAUUUAUUGUGUAUGUUCUCCUUAGGGGCUGACCCUGCAACUCCUACCAUAUCAUCGCAUAUGUCAAUAUAAACUUCCUAACAGAAUAGCAAGCCAAUAGUAAGCAAACUCUAUCUAACCAAAUCAAAAAGAGAAAGUCAAAAGUAUAACAGACAGAAACAAUUAUUUAUUGUGUAUGUCCUCCUUGGGAGCUGACCUAUGACAAGUUCAACUAUGAUACACAACCCCUACCCCAAAAAGCCUACUAUAAAUCAGUUCAAUGUACUUUUCUUGAGCACCCGAUAUACCUUCAGUACAAUUACCUUCAAACUUCAGCUAUGCAAAGUCAUAUGCAGGCAAACAUCCAAUGAAGAGCAGAGAAACUACUUACAUCCUAGACAAAGGGAGGAAACUCUUACCAUUACAUUGGAGAAAGAAGCAAGAUUUUGCAUCUGGGAACUUGUCUGUGGCUGACUAAAUGCUGCAGCCAAUUGUUGUGCAGUUUCAUAUGUGUAGCCAGCAGCAGAGGAGGGAUACGAGUAAUGAUUUCCAUGUUCGCUCAUCUCUGCUUUCAACGGCACUGGUUGUGAAGCAGAAGGUGAAUCAUAAUUUCCAGAACUUGCAUUAGUUCUAUGGUAUAUGUUACUCUCAGAUGCAUGUCCGAGAGACUCAUCACCAUAGUAUUCGGGAGCUCUGCAAUAUAAAGAUACACUAACUAAUAAGAGGAAUAUUUUCAGCUCCUAUGUUUUGCAUGGGAGAUUAAUUUAUAAAUACCUCAGUAACAAAAUGAUUUACGUUAUCUUGAAAGAUUGACAUUUUAUACUUAAAAAUAUGAAGAUGUUAAUACACAAGUUUAAAAAUGCACUGUUGGGUUAGCUUUAGAGAACCCUAAUUCGUCUUAAAUAAUAAAUUUAUGGUUGGGAGGGCAGAGAAGACUGCACUGCACUCCUUAUCUUAAAUGAUAAAUUAUUUGACUGGAAAGAGAUGAGUCUGAAUAGAGUGAAGCUGGUAUAGAGGAUUCAUAGAGAUGCAGCUAAGCUCAAAUACUUUUUUUUAAAAUGAGCUAAUCUCAACUACUUGGGAUUGAAGAAUAGCAUUGAUUUAUUUGACUGAUUAAUGUGAUGAACAUUUAGAAAAGCCAACUACAAAAAUACUAAGAUAAAGUGCAAGGAUAUAUGUAGUUGAAUUUAGUAAAAUCAGAAGCAAACUUAACUGCAUAUCCAUACUUAAUUUGAUUGAUCAACUAUAAGGAAGAUAAGACCUAUGAGGCAAAAUAAAUGAAUGAAAGUUUCCACAUCAUCUAAUCUAAGUGGGGGAAGUGGCCGGUAGAGACUUGGUAUGUUCAUUACUUGGCAUAACAUUAAUUUCUAAAUUAUGUGUUAUUAAUUAGAUAAGCAUCAAUGAGUUUUAAAUUUAAACAAAAUCCACGGUUACGAAGGAGGUAUACCUGGAUCCCAAGUUCCCAACUGAUGAACCCUCCACAUCUUUAGGUGCAUCUUCCAAGCUAGUAUUCACUGGAGCAGAUUCUAAAGGCCCGGAAAAGGACCCGCCAAUACCAGCGCCAAAGCUACCAAAGCUCAGGUGUGAGCAGUCUGCAGUUUGAACUUGAAGAUGGUCUGGGAUUACAACAGAAGGACCAUCUCCUUCAGGUGACAACCCUCUAUCAUCAUGUACAUUUAACUGUUGCAAGUUUGCAGCAACUGAUGAAACAGAGAUGUUAACAUCUUCAACUGCAAGAAGAUGGCAGAGAAUUAUUACACAAAAUAUUCUAAGUAACAGAACUUCACAUGCCGGAACAAACAAUUUGAUUAUGCAGAAAAACCAUGAUGCCUUUUCACUUUAAGUUGAAGCGAAUCGUGACAUGAAAAGCAGGUCUACUGUUUACAUGCCUCCUAGCCAGCAUCUACAUGUAUGCUGCCCCCCUCUCCGCCCAAAAAAGAAAAGUUUCUAGGUGGCUCGAGAUUUGUUAGGCUUUUCUUCUCUUUCAAAAAUAGGGGGCUGCAAAGUAUAAAUUUUAAGGCAUCUUUGAGUUUUUAAGGAUAAACCCCAAACAUCAAAUUACCGGUCAACAGAACACCAAGCUUUAACUUUAGGAGGUAAAAUCAACUCUGCACAGGGCAACCUAUGAACAACAAGUGAUUGGGGUUUAUCCUUACAAACACUAAUAAUAAUAUCAAUAUGCACUUACUGCAAGACAGAAGUGAUAUUUUAAAUUCCUAUUUAAAAAACUACAACAAACAAAAAGCUGGGAGAAGAAGUUUAUUGCUUAAACCAACCAGGUUCUUAAUGCUACACUUCCAUCAAAAGGUGAUAAGACAAACAAAGGUGACACAACCAAUAGAAUUGAAUGAAGCUCCAAAUACAGUAAGAAAGAGCUUUGCAACCAGUUAAGAUGAACUUCCUUGCAUUCCACUGCUACUAUAUGUCCAACCGUAUAUUAAUAUCAGUAUCUACAAGAGCCUAACAACAUAUCCAACUUAUUCAAACUAAAUUGAUAGGAUGAGAUCAAACACUGGGACUGUAUUACAAAAAAACAAAGUGUAGUUGCUCUAAGAAACACGCAACGAUAACAUUAUACUGAUGUCAAAGGGGGACAGAGGGAAUCUUUAGCUUACUGUACAAAGGACCUGCCAAGCACGGAAACCUUAGAGAGAAUAACGAAAGAUAAACAAUAAGCAAUACCAUGUCAAACGAACUAUUACACAAGCAACAUGACGACAAAUAAUACAUAUUUUCAACAAUGAAAAGCAUAUCACAAUAUCAAAUCAAAACUGUGAUAUACUAACCUUCUUGAUGGUCAAAAGUAUGAUUCUGGUUCUGAAAUCUGUAGAGGUCAUUCUCAUAAAGAACUGCGCCUCCAGCAUUAUCCUCCUGCAACUUUAUGCUUGGAGGACUACCAAGAUUUUCAGCAGUGCUGUCAUCUAUCCCCUGAACCUCAUCAAUCUCAGUUUGAUGAUUAAUUCUGUCAUAUGAUAUGUUAGCUGGAUCAGGAUGCAGCUCAGAAUCUGCAGGAGGCUCUGAGAUAGAGGGCUGGCUAGCAACUGAUGGCUGCUCGAUUAGAGGCCAUUCCUCAUCGGUUGAACGAUGCUGCACCCGAUAAUCCCCAGACUCUCGAUAUACAUCAGAAACAUUGGAUGUAUGAUCGUCAGAAAACUGAAUAUUUUGAUGUGAUGCACCAGAAGGGAGCCCUUGAAUAUGGUUUUGGUUGGCAUUGGCAUUGUGGUGAGAUACAUUAGGUACACUCGGCACUUUGCUCUGCGGCUUACCCAUCUUCACAAUAUCAGCCAUGGAAACUUGACCUGGCACCCCGCCCCAAGUAGGUUGAUAUCCAGAAGAAUGCUGUGAGACUGAUGAAACACCAUCAACUGCUGCUGGCUUUUUACUUUCAUUUGCAGCAGCAUCACUGUAAAAAAAGCAUUCAAAGAAAAUUCAAAGCAGCAUUAUGCAUCUCCUAAAAGAGCGCUGAAAUUGUGCUUAGUCACAUGCAUGUGUAGAUAGCUUACAUUGCAAGAUUAUUGAAGUGAAUGAAAAGAAUUUGCAACUUAAAUAAGCCAAUGCAGUGAUUAAUGAUCGUAGCUAUUAAGUUAGUUAAAUUAAUGCCAGAGACACUUCAACAGAAAGAAACAUACUGUGGGUAAAGGAACACCCUACUGGAACCAACAACACGAGCAUCUAAAACCAACUAAUGUCCUUUUGAAAGAAACUAAACUAUUUAAGACUUCGAAGCUAACCUGAUGGUUGCAGCCCUCCUGCUUACGUUACUUUCGGAAACUUCAGGAGUAGAAGUCAGAUAACUUGUAUAAGAUCCAUUCUCCUUUUUGUAUCC
rnacentral:lncRNA from 1 species